CUUCAUGCCUUUACAUCCUGGUUUGGGCUGUAGCAGGAGAUAACCCUGCCUAAACUCAGAUCAGUUGCUUUUCUCUCUUUCUGGAAAUAUUGUCUAGUAUUCUCAACUCUUAGACAACUGAAUAUAUCACAGUUUCACGAUUUCUGGUGGUGCUGCUGCUCCUUCAGAGAGUGUAUUCUCUGAUUUAAAACCGCCUGUUUGUCUGGUGUCAUAUGAUCUAUCUUUCUAUGGGACAUUUUCAACCCACUAAAGAUAAGGUUAGGAGGAAGCACUGUCCGUCAGUCAUAUGUCAGUCAGUCUGUUCCCCUCGUAUUUUGUUAUAACUGAGAGAUACCAUGAGUUGAACCUAAAAUAACACUGCAAAUGUCCUAUUUCAAGAUGUCUUCACCAUAUAACAGUCAUCAGGAUCACUUUUUGUUCUGUUCAUUCUUUAUAUUUGUCUGUUAUGUGUGUGUGUGUGUGUGUGUGCCCAGCUUGCCUUUUCCUGUUUUGUUUCUUUCUAUUGACAGUUUUUAUCUUUUAUGGUUUUGUUCGGUUUGGAAAUUAGCAUCCUUUAUAAACACUACAAUACUUGCAUAUGGAUAAACAAACGGACCAUAAAUGGAUGAGAUUAUAAUUUGAAAACCAAUGCACAGAGUUCCCUAGGAGUCAAAGUUUCGAGGGCCAGCCCAGACAGUCUGGUAUAAAGGUUCGAGCUGGAACGGACUGGUGGUCAUCUCAUCAACAUUCACCAGUGUGAAACCCAUCAGCACUGUUUCUGUGGAUAUUGGCACACUAAAAAGUUGCUCGGUCAGUUUUUUGGCUUUCAAUAAUUGCUGAUGCAACUUUUCCAUCAGCCCAAAGCCAAGCCAGUUGUAACCCAUCCAAAUUAUAUACCUAAUGAUAGAUACCUUUAACCGCAGCGUGGGAGGAAUUGUCAAAGCUUGUCAUGUAUCUGCUCAGUCUUUUUCUGCUUCUUUUUCCGUGUCCUGCUGUCACUUCAUUCCUCACCCUCUCGUUUCUGGGAGCAUGUCACUCCCCAGGUUGCUAACUCUCUUCAAGGACCCUUCAUAUUAAGGGACUAUUAAAAAGUCCUUGACUCUGCAGCCCGCCAUUACCUGUUGCAAUCUUCCCAUUUAGUUUCAACAGCAGAUUCCUCUCUCAGAAAUCAAUAUGGAGGGAGAACGGCGGGCAGCAUGAAGGAAAUGACUGGCAGGGAUAGUAAUCCUCAUCUAUCAUGUGGAGAUGGAUGUUGAAAAUAUAAUGAAAACCGUGUAAGAAAGAUGAUCUGAGAAAACCAUUUCACAGACCCCUUAAACAAUAACCCCCAAAAAACAAACAGAAUCAUUAUUUCCCAUUUUGGCUGAUGACUGAUGUGUUGCACUGACCUCAGCUACCGUGGCCCCAUUCGGUACUGCGCGGCUUGCUCCAGCCUUAUUAAUUACCUCAUUAGCAAAUAAGAGGAAGGAUAAUGGAGGGCUGUGUUUACGGUCCACGGUGACCAAGCGAGGCGGAUGGAAAGCAUGACGGUCAGCUUCUGAAGGCAAAGGCAGCAUUAACCUCCGCGUUUGUUCAGAGGAUGGAGAAUUUAGACGUUGAUGUACGCCUACAGAUCAGUGAGUAUCUGCGGUCACGCUUAAUGAAAUGACAUCAGGAAACGCUUUCCCUCCAGAUAUGUAGCACUUGAUGAAACUUCAUUAAUUUACUUGUCUUUUCCUCAACUAAUUAAGAGCAUAAUUAACCGCUGGAUGGAAGCUAUUUGCCCUAUUCAGAUGCCGAGGACUGAGUGAAUAAUUUAUAAAUGUUACAAUUGUAGACCUCAUAAAUAUUCAAUCAGUUUUCAUAGCUGCUUUAGAUUCUUGAUUGCUGCAUGAAUGGAUACAGUCAAUAGGAAUCAAAAGGAAAUAACCUCAACUGCAUUAAACUGGAUGUGUGGCAUGAUUCCCGUCACUUACACAGGAGCCUGCCCCACCACUUCAACCGUGUCUGCUGUUGUUAUGAAAAAAGACUCUGAGCCACAGUCUACUCUAAAUAUCAGCGGGAGAUUCUGGCUAAAACAUCAUAUUGUCCUUCACUUUAUUCUCGCCCCCAACGGCCUUAAAUGUCCUGGUAAAAUAAGAGACUUCGAGCCAGGCUUCACACACAGUAUCUCUAUGUUUAAGUUUUAGCUUUCGCACAAAAACAGUGUUAAGAGGACUCACUAAGCAAUCACCAGCCCCCUAAGUAAAGCUUACAGUAAUGAAGAAAUGGGCAAUCAGCAUAGAUUAGCAAGCGCUAGUUAGAGUAAUGGGUAGUUAACUCACAUAAAGAAGCACUUAGCCUUUCACCAUACCACUCUCUUUAAAGGCACUUUUUUUUGCCUGCAUGAAUUGUGUCGAUGCAUCUCAGAGUCUGUUUACAGACCAGUGUUGAAGGUCAAAAAUGUAAUGUUCACAAUUUUGCGGGGUUGUAUCGCCAUCUUUCGACAUUACCAUAAAGUUUGGACAAUAAAUAUCCUUUAUCAGAUAAUCAUAAAUUUUACUCAUGAGCUAUUGUAUUUUUAAUGAAUUUGAUUGAGUUUUAAAUUGGUUAUGGAGGUGAUUUAAUUUGAUGUUUUAAAUUAUUUUGUAGAUAGCUUUGUAAUUUGUUCCAGGUAUUUUUGUGUAAGUGUCAGAUAGUUUAAAGCUAAACUUCUGGUCUGGCUGUUUGAAUCCAUGGCUGGAGACCCAUACAUAAAGAUCCAGACUGUGUUACUUAUUUUUAAAAGUUGUUUGUUUUUUUUUUUUCUUUUUUUCUUUCUUUGUCAGUCAUACCAAAAAAAAAAAAAAAUGGAAUCAGUGAAAAUCCAAACCACUAAAGAUAAGUUGAUACUCAUCCCCCCCAGAGGUUUAAAGGACUGCAAAAAAAAAAAAAAAAAAAAAAAAGAAAUUAUAAUUGUUUGGUAAAUUACUCACGUCAUCUCCCAAACAAAAGCCAAAAAACACUUGAGAAAUGUUUCAUGAAAGAUUCUUAUAUUUUUUCUCCUUGUUUUAGGUGAAACAUCUCAGCUCAACGGUCUUAAAUCACACCAGAGUUGCAGCUACAAAACGGCCAAUUAAAUUAUUUAAGCUUAAAAUUUCAACAUCCUGUCACAAAUUACUGAGAUGGCACUGUGGAGGCUUAUUAAAUGACCAGAGGACUUCACGCCGCUCUGGAGCCCAUUAGGUAAUUGGUGCUGGAGGGUGGGGAAUUCCAGUGACAUUGCUGUUCCGGAUGGGAUAAAAUUCAUGGAGGUGCUCAGGUAAUAAUUACGAUCAUUCAACCUCCCCGGGUGAUUGUAAAGUCACCCAGCAAUGGCGCAUUGUACGAAAGCCAACUGAGUGUUACUGCAGAAUUAAAUGAUUCCAUCCACUGCUGCGAUCAGCCUUGAGGGUAAGUACCUUAAGGGCUGGAGGACGCACCUCUUGAAAGCCCUUGUGGAUAGUCUUUCUAAAAAAAAACGGCUUUCUAUCUUCAAAUGACAUAUUCAUACAUACAUCACUUUCAUGGGGAGUAAUCGAUAACACAUGGGAAGCUAUUGGUUAUGCAUGCGUUAAUUGAAAGAGUGUGAUAAUAUCUUGACAAACGGACUCAAAGGUUACUUUCCCAAGUGGUAAUUAAGAUUUCUUGACUCUAACCUUAGCUCUGGUGCCACCUCGGAUCAAAAGUGAAGAAAAGAUCAAGUGUUGGCAAAAAUUUGAUUAAACAUGGACUGUAAUGGGAUUAUGAAGGGUCACCUGUCUCCACUUAAUAACCAUCUUGGGGGGACUUUAAUCUUCCGUACCAGUGGAAGUCAACGAGGAAAGCACCAACCCCAGAACAACGUGGGGCUAAUUUCACUGCCAGAAGAAGUGAUGAGUUCCCUCAAUGGACAGUCAGGGGCCUUAUUACCUAACGCCCCUCAGUAAUGAAGCAUGAAACUCAUUCAGCACACACACACACGUCCACACUCCUACCUGAUACAGAGCAGUAAUUACUGUCCCCUGCCCUGGCUGUCCCCUGCUAUUUGAAUGUGUUAGCACUCACCGCAAAUAUCCAGUAUUCAUGCAGAUGAGACACACGGCUUAACUCUGAGGCCAGGGCCCAGGCAUUCUGCUUAAUGGACACACUUAAGACAACAAGGCCAUCUUUUCAUUCCCUUUCCCCUUCCUGCGUCAUAUUUUUUCGGCUUUCUUCCUCCCCAUCUGUCUUUGCCUUCCCUUUCUUCCUGCAGACAUGAAUCUGCUGAGCCCAGACAGCCAAGGUGAUCUUGACUGAGGCCAAUUAGCCCCCCCUCUGCUCAGACGGAGCUUCACAAUGGAAAUGCUUGGGGAGAAAAGCAAUAGGUUUACUCUCUAAACAUGCCUGGCAUAAAGACAGGAAUCAAUAGGCACUCGUGUAAUUCACUUUGAGGCAGAUAACUUGGAGGUGGGAGGGGGGAUUAAUGAGGCUCUGACCAAUGAGACGAAGAGAAUAGAUAGUUACGGGCCAAGCCUCAUCAGGGUUUUGCCAGGACUCCAAGGCAAGCAGAUAGAGGACUAUGGUCAGGGCAUGCCGGAGUGAGCAGAGCUAAUGCUCCUGGACUGGCAUUCGUCUUAAUUCAGUUACGUCUGUAUUUAACUGCAAAGACACAUUCUUUAACUAUCACUGAGUAAGGAUCCUCCCUGCUAAUUAGCUUGGCAGAAUCUGCAGGAUUGCCAACUGUGAUGUACCAAAGGUCGGUAAAUGGUUGGAUUUUAGAAACCUUAUCUUAACUGAUCUGCCUUAUACUGAGAUUGUAUUUAAACGUCUUAUAAAAGUGCCCAUUUCAAUCAAGAAAUGUCAAAAGGAAGAGUAUUUACUCCUGUUCUCCUCAUUAUAAAGUCGGCUGAGAUAGCUGAGGGUUUGAUGUUGUUAAAUGUUAAAACGUUGUCCAACCACAACAAGGUGGUGAGUUUUUUUUCUUUCUUUCUUCAAAGCAUUGAGAAAUGGAGGAUGAAUAUGUUUUAAUCUUAGGCUGGCAUGAAAAGAAAUAACUGAUUUAAAUGGUUUGGUGGUUUGGACAGCAAAGAGAAUUCUUUGUAUGAUUGCCUGUCAAAUAGUUUGUCAGGAUAUUGAAUUAGAACUGGGGUUUCUGGAUUGUGGCAAAAAUCUUGAUUGUGGUGUGGUCUGAGUGUGUGUCUGUUCAACAGGGACUUUUUUCUAACAUUUGAAUUGUCUCCAAAGUAAUGUGACACAGGUGACAAAAUAAACAGAAGUGUCUCUGGUUGUAGUUUGUUGAUGACAGACAAUAAUUGUGGAUGGGUUCUGAUAUUGGUGUAUGGAUAUUGGCAGACAGGAUCAAGACUAGAGUGUAAUUUUUCAAUUUUAAAUAUAUGCCUCAAUUGAUGUCAGAAAGCUUAUCCUUUCAUGGUGUUCACUGUGGAACACACCAGAUGUGCCAUCUAUUUAACACUCGAACUACCAAGGCAGUCAUCUUAACUGCUUUCAAAAUUUACAAUGUCAACUUUUUUGAAAUACAACCUUCACUAUUUGCUAUAUUUUCCCGCUCUUUCUCCUGCUCUUUUGUUUGUUUUGUACUUUAAGCUCUACGAAGCUAAAAUCUUGCCAUAACUUUACUCAAAACUCAAGACUCAAAAAUGACAACUAGAAGAAACAUGAGAAGUAUGGAGGCAUUAGCCUUGCUUCAGAGCCUUGAUAAAGAAGAAUCCAAUGGAUGAGCAGGUUCAGGGAAUAAUGUGUUCUGGUAUUUUAAUGAAGGUUCUUGAAAAUCUCAUUCAUUAUAAUUUUUACAUGUGUAUUGGUGUGGUAUUUAUCUAUUCCACAAAUUUAUCAAUCAAUUUAUCAAUUUAUUAUCACUUUUUAUUGUUCAUUUUCCAAAUUGUGUGCCAAAAAAUACUGAGCAGUCAAAAUGACGGCUUAUGGUCAUUCUAUUAGUUGCAGAAUUUGGGUAGACUGAGGUGAAGAUGCAGGGAUAUAAAUUAUAUCCACAGUCACAUGACGUCCAAAAAAGCUGUUUUCGAUACACGUUAACGUUUUACAGAAAACAAAGCACUUUUCACCAUUCACUUAGACCUCAGAUGCUGUGACAGUACAUGCACACAUUAUCUUGAUACAUAAUAAGUACCAAAAUAACUGUGAAAAAGAGUUUGGUAUUGGAACUGGCACCAGAAGCCAUGGCUUGGCACUUAGUUUUACAAAACCAUGAGCCCAGAUCUGCUCCACGUUGGAGGUAAAAAUACAGUUUAGACGUUUAUACUCUCCUUUGGCUCCUUCUACUCGCCCACUACCAGAUCAUGUUGCUGUUAGUUUUGAAGUGAACACCUGCUCAGCUUUGGGUUGCGUAAGAGCUCAGAUCUAACCUUUCCUCCUGUAUUUCAAAGGCAGAAGAUGCCCUUCCACUUAGAGCCAAGCUGAGGAGCAAAAAUGGAAUCAAUUGCCUUAUAUUCUCUGUAAUUCUGUUGGAUCUUCAGAGGAAGCCGCUCAACACGGAUGUACUGAGAGCAAAAAAGAGAGAUUGUAUCUUUUUCUUAUUCUUUCUUCUUCCAUUUCUCUCCACUCUGUUGAGCUGUUCUGGCACAAUCAAUGCUUCUCGCCUGCCUGGACCCAUCAUUUUUACCUGCAUGCUGAUCAAUUGCCUCAGUAUUUCACUGACCAAUAAGCUGAUUAUAAACCAAGAAGCUCACCAGCCCUUACUUAUACAGCCCCCAUUUUCAAUUACACACAGCUAAACACGUGCUGCAGCAAAAGGAGCUCCGAGCAGCAGCAUCAAUCACAGGCCAGCGUGGUGAUGAGGCUGAUAACACAGCUGCAGCUGAUAGCCCACCAGCUGACACACACACACACACACACACACACACACACACACACACACACACACACACACACACACACACACACACACACACACACACACACACACACAGAUAAAUAGUGUAGAUAUCCAGACAUGUAUGUGCGUUAUCUCUCUCUCACACAAACAUGGAUACAUAGACCAGCUUAUUCACCCUCUUUUUUCCAGUCUUUCUGUCUGUCUGUCUGUCUGUGUCUCUCACCAGGCCCUCCUCCUUCCUAAUCAAUCCAUCUGAGAAAAAUCUGCACAGCAAGAAAACUUCCAAGUUACAUCAUUUCGUUGGUUAAUGAGUCCUAAAAAUAUUUCCUUAAAUAGGAAGUUACGAAAUCCGACAGUGGAUCUUAUCCUGCAAAAAAAAAAAAAAAAAAAAAACCCUCCAGCUUAUCAAGUUCUUUCUGUCUGUGUUUGACUUGCAAAAAGUGUUUCAUCAUGAGAUGAAAUAAAAGUCUGACAGUGCAGUACAGAUAUUAUGGACAGUUUCCAAUUCACCCUGUUUUGAGGGUAUUUGAUCAAGUCAAAUUCAAUUUGUCUGCACUUGUGUGCAGGUACAUCACUUUCUCUUUGUGGUUUCGAGAUACUGACUCAAUCUACAAAAUAUGAAACUGGAUGGUUUUUAGCAGGAAGAGGUUUUUUAAAAAAUAAAAGAUAAAUGCAAUGCUACACAGUUUUUCCAGCCUGUCUCCAUUUUUCCUGUAACUUUAAAUGACUAAUGUUUGUGUUUACUUCCAGCCUGCCUCUGAUCACUGUCUCCUAAAGGGUAUAUAUGCUGUGAAAAUCCCCCUUUCUUAGCACACAAACAGGGGUAUACUGAAUACUCACUAGCCUCAAAAUGUGACUGAAAUGAACCCAGGUCUUUGCUCAUGGUUUACCUAUGUCUGACAACACACAAUCUGACGGCCCAUUCAAAGUCUGCCCACCUUGUAAUAACGUGAGAAGAGGAGAUAAUACACGCCCCCUCACCUUCUGGGCUACAGCUUCAGAGCUAAACUUAUGGGAUAACUGCCAUUGUUUUUCUUAGAGAGAGAAGAGAGCGGGGGGUGAGACGGAGCUCAUUUACAUUUUAAUAUACACACCAAAACCCACUGUUCUUAGAGAGGCUGUUCACAGCUGUCUCAUAAAGGGUCCAAAACCUCCUCCGAUACUUGAGCUGUUUUAUACUUUGACCAAAACACAGCUCAAAUGUUUCAUUUAGCCCACAGGAGACCAUGGUAAAUGGUUGAAAAGGGGUAUAACAUGCCCAUCUUAAAGAGACCCGCAUAAGACACUUUCUCCAGAAAACUACGGAAGAGGAUUAAGGCUGAUAUAUAAAAAUUAUAUUCACCCUUUAUUUAUUUAUUCAUUCAUUCAUUCAUUUAUUUUUGGUGGCCCUAAUCCUCUUCUGUAAGAAACUACUCCACCCUUAAGAGAAACCAGUUGACUGUAAUCACCGGCAUAUGAACUCUAUGACUGUCAAAAGACAAAGUCCAAGGUGAGGCUCCGGAGGCGGAUCAAGUUAAGUUUAAUUCGGUUUGCAACAGCAAUUUCUCCCCUUCAUAAUCACAAAUUUGCUGGAUAAAAAUCACAAACAAGAGACCGUUGAGGGACUCAGAAGAAAUAAGUAUUAACACAACAAAUCUGUCUGUUUACGUGUGACGCUGAUCAUUUUGCAAAAACCGUCAUCACCAGGUGGGUCUCAGUCGCUCCGUCCACCAUCAUCUUUUUGACAUUGCUUUCCCAGAGAGCAGCUGAUGUCCAGGUCUACUAUCCCCCUUUCUGGGAAAUUUUGGAGGUGGAGCUUCAGAAAGUGUCUAGAAAAUUUCAGGAGUGCAUGUCUGACUGAAGCGUUUGAGACACCCUUUGCCACAUCUCUUCCUCGCUUUCUUCUUCUCCUUUCCACCUUUCUUUUCAUCUCUCCAUCUCCUGCUCUUUGAAGGCAUCACCCUCUUUCUUCCUCUCUCUCCAUCUGUCACUUCCACUCCUCCUCCUCUAGUCCUGAUCCACUGGUUCAUUCACUUUGUAAACACACACUGCCUCCCUUCCAUCUAACCUACUCUACCUCUGCUGUGUGUCCUCAGGCUUUGUUUGUCCGUGUCAGUGCUAAGCCGCUUGUCUGCGGUUAUACACUCCAUGCCGUCAUGCAGAAGCUGUGUCAGUCAUAUUAAACAGGCUGUGAGCUAAUAGCACGGGUGACUGUGAAUUUUCCAAACCACAAUAAUCUGCCCUGAGCGUUUGUACCAGAUUUACUCUGUUUGGUUUCUCUGCCGAUGCCUGUUUGUGUCUGAAUUUAUCCUUUUUUUUUUCCUGUGAAAUUGAUAUUGUGGAGUUUCUCAAACUAAUCUGCGGCUUAAUUCCUAAUGUAUGCAGGCUUGGGGUGGUGAGUGAUGGUUUCAGGUGUCUGCAGGUUUAAUCAAGCCUCAUUUAAAACCAUGGCAGGCAGGAUUUUUGAAAACCCUGUCGUCACCAAACCUAAUCACAAGAGAGGAGUGUGAUAUUGCAGCUGUUCUCCGGAUUAUAAAACUUUAAUUUAAAUUAAGA
rnacentral:lncRNA from 1 species